rnacentral:lncRNA from 1 species
GAUCAGUUCUGAUCAAAUUAGACGAGAGAUUAAAAUAGGUUGACUUUGUUUAUGCCAUAAUGUAAUUAAGUGACUUGCUGUAAAUAUUUGUGAAACUUUUGUGUUAGUCAAUUUGGUUUUAUGGAAACGCAUUAUCCUCGAACUUUGAAGAACAUUAGAAGAACGUACGCUUGUGAGAAUUUUUUAUGAAUAGAAACCUGAGAUGACUGUGAGAUGUGAUAAAAGACUAGCAGUAAACGUGUAUAUCGAGACCUUUGUGUUGGUGACAAUGUAUAUAUGUAAAUACCAGUAUGGACUGUCGAAACUGUCGAUCCGUAACAGACAACCUAUCUACAGGGACCGUCAGAAAUGAAGGAAAAAGGCACUCCUGUUGAAAGAUUAGAAGAAGUGGUUCCGCAUGUUCAAACCGACAGUGAAGUCAUGUG